UACGGAGGGUGCAAGCAUUGAUCGGAAUUACUGGGCGUAAAGGGCGCGUAGGCGGUUUGAUAAGUCAGAUGUGAAAUUCCGGGGCUCAACCCCGGAGCUGCAUUUGAAACUAUCAAGCUAGAGGACAGUUAGGGAAAACGGAAUUCCACAUGUAGCGGUGAAAUGCGUAGAUAUGUGGAAGAACACCGGUGGUGAAGACGGUUUUCUGGGCUGUAACUGACGCUGAGGCGCGAAAGCUAGGGGAGCAAACAGG
rnacentral:rRNA from 1 species